rnacentral:misc_RNA from 1 species
GGCACUUAUGGAGCACAACCUGGUGAUGGGUAUGCAACUGCUGGUCCCCAUUCCACACUUCCCACAGGGAGUGCAUACAUGAUGUAUGAUAGCGAAGGGGGAAGGACACAUCAUCCGCCUCAACAACCUCACUUUCCACAGGGUGGAUAUCCACCAGCAAAUAUUGGCCUACAAAAUCCUCAGUCAGCUACUGGCACAAACAUGUUGGCUCGAAAUCCAAGCCAUUCACACUUUGUUCGGAACCACCCUUACAGUGAGUUGAUUGAGAAGAUGGUGAGCAUGGGUUUCAGGGGUGAUCUUGUUGUCAGUGUGAUACAAAGGAUGGAGGAGAGCGGUCAGCCUGUGGA